rnacentral:rRNA from 1 species
GGAUCCAGACUUUGAUUCUGGCUCAGGAUGAACGCUAGCUACAGGCUUAACACAUGCAAGUCGAGGGGCAGCAUGAACUUAGCUUGCUAAGUUUGAUGGCGACCGGCGCACGGGUGAGUAACACGUAUCCAACCUUCCGUUUACUCAGGGAUAGCCUUUCGAAAGAAAGAUUAAUACCUGAUAGUAUGGUGAGAUUGCAUGAUAGCACCAUUAAAGAUUUAUUGGUAAACGAUGGGGAUGCGUUCCAUUAGGUAGUAGGCGGGGUAACGGCCCACCUAGCCGACGAUGGAUAGGGGUUCUGAGAGGAAGGUCCCCCACAUUGGAACUGAGACACGGUCCAAACUCCUACGGGAGGCAGCAGUGAGGAAUAUUGGUCAAUGGGCGAGAGCCUGAACCAGCCAAGUAGCGUGAAGGAUGAAGGUCCUACGGAUUGUAAACUUCUUUUAUACGGGAAUAAAGUAUCCUACGUGUAGGAUUUUGUAUGUACCGUAUGAAUAAGCAUCGGCUAACUCCGUGCCAGCAGCCGCGGUAAUACGGAGGAUGCGAGCGUUAUCCGGAUUUAUUGGGUUUAAAGGGAGCGCAGACGGGAGAUUAAGUCAGUUGUGAAAGUUUGCGGCUCAACCGUAAAAUUGCAGUUGAUACUGGUUUCCUUGAGUGCAGUUGAGGCAGGCGGAAUUCGUGGUGUAGCGGUGAAAUGCUUAGAUAUCACGAAGAACCCCGAUUGCGAAGGCAGCUUGCUAAACUGUAACUGACGUUCAUGCUCGAAAGUGUGGGUAUCAAACAGGAUUAGAUACCCUGGUAGUCCACACGGUAAACGAUGGAUACUCGCUGUUGGCGAUAUACUGUCAGCGGCCAAGCGAAAGCAUUAAGUAUCCCACCUGGGGAGUACGCCGGCAACGGUGCAACUCAAAUGAAUUGACGG